UAAUCCCACUUUUUUGGAAAUAAUUUGAUAAUUAUAUACCAACUUAAGAAAAAUACGAACACAUCUAUGAUCCUAACUCCAUAUCUACGUAUAAAUAUAAAAUUCGGUAACUUAAUCGUAUAACAUGUAACAAUAGAAAAUUCAAAUAAUUAAUUCACUUCACAUAUUAAAUAAUGUAGGAAACCACUUGAACAUUUUUAUACAUAUUUUUCCACAGUAAAAUCUAUAACGAAAAUAGUACAGGAUUGAAGAAGAACUUGUAAGGAAUUAAAUUGAAUAAUGCAGCAAGCAACCUUCACCGGAAACUUUAAACGGAACCCGAAUUCAUCUAUACCCUUUUCUCUCUUUGAUUGAUGAUUUUCUUUGACUGACUUUUUUUUUAUUUUUUCUGUUUUCUGAUGGAUGUAGUGUCUGAUCUUUUUUUUUUUUUUAGUUUCUCCGUUCCCUCUUUAAGUUUUUCUUUUUGUUUUUGUUUCUUCUUUUCCACCAAAUGUUGUUCUCCUCUUUCUCGUGUGUCUCUUUUUUUUUUUUUGUUUUUUUU
rnacentral:lncRNA from 1 species